rnacentral:rRNA from 1 species
UACGAAGGGGGCUAGCGUUGCUCGGAAUCACUGGGCGUGAAGGGUGCGUAGGCGGGUCUUUAAGUCAGGGGUGAAAUCCUGGAGCUCAACUCCAGAACUGCCUUUGAUACUGAGGAUCUUGAGUUCGGGAGAGGUGAGUGGAACUGCGAGUGUAGAGGUGAAAUUCGUAGAUAUUCGCAAGAACACCAGUGGCGAAGGCGGCUCACUGGCCCGAUACUGACGCUGAGACGCGAAAGCGUGGGGAGCGAACAGG